GAUGAACGCUAGCGGCAGGCUUAACACAUGCAAGUCGAGGGGUAUUUGGACUUCGGUUCAGAGAGACCGGCAAACGGGUGCGGAACACGUACACAACCUACCUUUAUCAGGGGGAUAGCCCAUAGAAAUGUGGAUUAAUACCCCAUAGUAUUAUGUGAUGGCAUCAUUAUAUAAUUAAGAAUUUCGGAUAGAGAUGGGUGUGCGUAAGAUUAGCUAGUUGGAGAGGUAACGGCUCCCCAAGUCAACGAUCAUUAGGGGUUCUGAGAGGAAGGUCCCCCACACUGGUACUGAGACACGGACCAGACUCCUACGGGAGGCAGCAGUGAGGAAUAUUGGUCAAUGGGGCAGAGCCUGAACCAGCCAAGUCGCGUGCAGGAAGAAUGUCCUAUGGAUUGUAAACUUCUUUUGUAAGGGAAUAAAGUGUAGUACGCGUACUAUUUUGCAUGUACCUUACGAAUAGGAUCGGCUAACUCCGUGCCAGCAG
rnacentral:rRNA from 1 species